rnacentral:rRNA from 1 species
UUUUUCAUUAAUCAAGAACGACAGUAGGGGGUGUGAAGACGCCUAGAUACCGUUGUAAUCUCUGGCAUAAACUAUGCUGAGCUAGAGAUAGGGAAAUGCCCCCCGUUGGCUUCUCCUGCACCUCAUGAGAAAAUCAAAAGUCUCUGGGUUCUGGGGGGAGUAAUGGUCGCAAGGCUGAAACUUAAAGGAAUUGACGGAGGGGGACCGCCAGGCGUGGAGCCUGCGGCUUAAUUUGACUCAGCACGGGGAAACUCCGCAGGUCCAGACAUGGGAAGGAUUGACAGAUUGAUAGUUCUUUCUUGAUUCUAUGGGUGGUGGUGCAUGGCCGUUAUUAGUUGGUGGAGUGAUCUGUAUGGUUAAUUUCGAUAACGAACGAGACCUUAGCCUGCUAAAUAGGGUCAGUAACUUUGCGGUUACUGUAUCACUUCUUAGAGGGACUUUGCGUGUCUGACGCAAGGAAGUUUGAGGCAAUAACACGUCUGUGAUGCCGUUAGAUGUUCUGGGCUGCACGCGCGCUACACUGAUGCAUGCAACGAGUUUUUACCUUGGCCGACAGGUCUGGGUAAUCUUUUGAGUGUGCAUUGUGAUGGGGAUAGAUUAUUGCAAUUAUUAAUUUUCAAAGAGGAAUGCCUAGUAGGCGCAAGUCAGCAGCUUGCGCCGAUUAA